rnacentral:tRNA from 3 species
AGCGGGGUGGGGAAGCCAGGUUAUCCCGCGGGGCUCAUAACCCCGAGAUCGGUGGUUCAAAUCCACCCCCCGCUACCA